AGACCAUAGAACCAGGAGGAUAGGAAGAGAGGAGGAGUAUAGGAGGAGGAGGGUUAGGAAGAGAGGAGGAGUAUAGGAAGAGAGGUGGAGUAUAGGAGGAGGAGGAGGGUUAGGAAGAGAGGAGGAGUAUAGGAAGAGAGGUGGAGUAUAGGAGGAGGAGGAGGUUUAGGAAGAGAGGAGGAGGAGGAUAGGAAGAGAGGAGGAGUAUAGGAAGAGAGGUGGAGUAUAGGAGGAGGAGGAGGGUUAGGAAGAGAGGAGGAGUAUAGGAAGAGAGGUGGAGUAUAGGAAGAGGAGGAGGGUUAGGAAGAGAGGAGGAGGAGGAUAGGAAGAGAGGAGGAGUAUAGGAGGAGGAGGGUUAGGAAGAGAGGAGGAGGAUAGGAAGAGAGGAGGAGGAUAGGAAGAGAGGAGGAGGAGGAUAGGAAGAGAGGUGGAAGAGGAUAGGAAGAGAGGAGGAGUAUAGGAGGAGGAGGGUUAGGAAGAGAGGGGGAGGAGGAUAGGAAGAGAGGAGGAGGAGGAUAGGAAGAGAGGUGGAAGAGGAUAGGAAGAGAGGAGGAGUAUAGGAGGAGGAGGGAUAGGAAGAGAGGAGGAGGAGGGUUAGGAAGAGAGGAGGAGGAGGAUAGGAAGAGAGGUGGAAGAGGAUAGGAAGAGAGGAGGAGUAUAGGAGGAGGAGGGUUAGGAAGAGAGGAGGAGGAGGGUUAGGAAGAGAGGGGGAGGAGGAUAGGAAGAGAGGAGGAGGAGGAUAGGAAGAGAGGAGGAGUAUAGGAGGAGGAGGGUUAGGAAGAGAGGAGGAGGAGGAUAGGAAGAGAGGAGGAGGAGGAGGGUUAGGAAGAGAGGAGGAGGAGGAUAGGAAGAGAGGUGGAAGAGGAUAGGAAGAGAGGAGGAGUAUAGGAGGAGGAGGGUUAGGAAGAGAGGAGGAGGAGGAUAGGAAGAGAGGAGGAGGAGGAGGGUUAGGAAGAGAGGAGGAGGAGGAUAGGAAGAGAGGUGGAAGAGGAUAGGAAGAGAGGAGGAGUAUAGGAGGAGGAGGGUUAGGAAGAGAGGAGUAGUAUAGGAAGAGAGGAGGAAGAGGAUAGGAAGAGAGGAGGAGUAUAGGAGGAGGAGGAGGAGGGUUAGGAAGAGAGGAGGAGGAGGAUAGGAAGAGAGGUGGAAGAGGAUAGGAAGAGAGGAGGAGGAGGAUAGGAAGAGAGGUGGAAGAGGAUAGGAAGAGAGGAGGAGUAUAGGAGGAGGAGGGUUAGGAAGAGAGGAGGAGGAUAGGAAGAGAGGAGGAGGAGGAUAGGAAGAGGAUA